UUUUUUCAAUAUUAAUGCGAUCUUUGCUUCUCUGAUUGACCCUUAUCUUAUAACAUCCCUACAUCCUCUAGCGGACAAUCCAGCUGUUACGGACUUGCAGAAAAGCAAAAAUGAUAUUGGUAAUGAUCAAGUAACUUAUACAUAUCAUGAAGUAAUACCAAUGUUCGGUAUUUAUAACCAAAAAACUAGUUUGCCAACAACCAUGACGGUUUUGGAGCCUAAUUCAAUGGUACAGUUCAAUGUUUCUGUACACAGUGAUCUGUUGAAGGUACACCAGUACUGGGAGUUAACAGAUAUUGCAGAUGGAAGCGUAAAAGUAACAGACAAUCUUGCAAUCACAAGCUAUGGCAUUCUAGCAAGAUAUGCAGCAAGUGAGGCUUUGAAAGCUCACACAAUGCUCCUAAACAACCUUAAAAAGAAAUUGGAACAAUAAUGAAAUUCAAGCCAAUAGGUGACUUGUAUUAUAGAGUCAUUUACUACCAUUACAAUAAUCCCUUGCACCCUUUCUUUUGUUCUGUUAAUUAGCACCAAUUGUCUUACUAUUCGCAUGAGGAAAUGUAAAUUUGAAUAGAAAAGAAAAUUCAUGAAGCAUUUUGGUAGUGUUAGUAAAAUGAUGCCAUCAUAAAUGCAAAUGGCCCAUAUAGUUGAAGAUAGUGGAAUUGUCAUUACGUAUGUAAUGAUUAAGCCAUAUCUCAUGAGGGCAAAUAGUGAUCCUAUUAUUGUUAUAUUAACAAACUGGACAGCAUUAGAAUAUGACGGAAAGAAAUUUCAAUUGAUUUUUAUUUAGAAUCUCAUAACAGUGGGAUUUGAUUUGAUGUAUGUGUGUAUAGAUUACAAUUAGCUAGUUAUUUCUCUCCUGUGCUUGGAGGGAUUUUCUCUGGGUUCUUUGCCUUUCCUAGCUCUCUGCAAAAAUCAACUUCUAAAUUCCAAUUUAAAUUCAGUGGUAGAAGAGGCACUCUUUGGAAUCACUGUUAAUUUCCCAUCGUCAUCAUUGUUGCAUCGUCGUCAUCAUUUGUUAUUACAUCAAAAACUAUUUUUUCUACCAUACAUAGACUUUGAAAUCGACCACUAUUAGAUCAGGCAAUAGGAAUAUUCAAUAUUCAAUAGUCCACUUGUUUCUAUAUGCUUUAUGUAGUGUUUUGAAAUCAUAAGGAAAUGUUAUUUUUUUAUUUGGGGGAGUGCUGGGAGAUUCAAAUUAAAUAAACAUUUUUAAAAUUGG
rnacentral:misc_RNA from 1 species